GAUGAACGCUGGCGGCGUGCCUAAUACAUGCAAGUCGAGCGAACAGACGAGGAGCUUGCUCCUCUGACGUUAGCGGCGGACGGGUGAGUAACACGUGGAUAACCUACCUAUAAGACUGGGAUAACUUCGGGAAACCGGAGCUAAUACCGGAUAAUAUAUUGAACCGCAUGGUUCAAUAGUGAAAGACGGUUUUGCUGUCACUUAUAGAUGGAUCCGCGCCGCAUUAGCUAGUUGGUAAGGUAACGGCUUACCAAGGCAACGAUGCGUAGCCGACCUGAGAGGGUGAUCGGCCACACUGGAACUGAGACACGGUCCAGACUCCUACGGGAGGCAGCAGUAGGGAAUCUUCCGCAAUGGGCGAAAGCGUGACGGAGCAACGCCGCGUGAGUGAUGAAGGUCUUCGGAGCGUAAAACUCUGUUAUUAGGGAAGAACAAAUGUGUAAGUAACUAUGCACGUCUUGACGGUACCUAAUCAGAAAGCCACGGCUAACUACGUG
rnacentral:rRNA from 1 species